AUGGACAAAUAAUUAUAUUGGGGGUGUUUAUGUUGAAAAUUAAAUUUAAUUUUGGAUAAAGAUAGUGAUCCAGAUGUAGUUUGGAACAUGAAAGGAAUUAAGAAGAAGAGAGGGGCAUUUGUGUCAUUGGGAAGGAGAGGGCUUUAGGGAUUUUAGUGCUUAUAAGCACUGUGGACACGAAGGCCAGAAGAGGCCCGUCGCCAGGGAGAAACGGAGGGGGAAUGCGUGCUUUUGGGGGGCGGCCACCAGCAACCUCCGUGAGGGGGGUUCUCGUCGGCGUCGUGAUCUCUCCUGUUGAAGCAACGUUGUCGCCAAGAUGGAGGCAGUCUGUGCUUUUCUCUUCCGCCGUCGGCGUCCUCACCACCUCCCCCCUUCUCCUUCCUCGCUGAAGGCCAUGAUCGCACACUGCCGAGGUCGCCGCUGCACCUCUCUUCACUGAUCUUCUUCGCCGCCUCGCGCCCAAGGGGUGCUUUUGCUGCCUGCGGCUACAUCCGGGGUGGAAGCAAAGCUUCCUGAUCCUUCGCUACUGCCGCCGGAUAGAUCCGCCGGCGACGAGGGGACCCCCUCCUCCCUUAUCCUCCGACCUCGAUGCCUCCCUCCGCCCCUGAUGACAGGGGAGGUUGCCGCCUAUGCCUCAAGCAGGCGUCCACGAGAUUAUGUUCGGCCAGCGAGCUGAGGUGGUUCCAGCCAUCGAACCGUUGGGUUUUACUCCAUGCAUCUUUAUUAUGAUUAUGAGUUAUUUGUGUUAUACGGCCUGCAUGCCGUGUAUCGGCCUGCGAGACGUUAUGGCUCAGCCUACAUACCGCAUUCCAGAUCCAGGCUGCAUCGUAUUUCGUGCCGCCACCAUUAGAUUCGACUUCUCAGCGGGUUCACACCCAUCUACUUGUCAGGACCGCGACGACUUGAUUAGCACCCCGACCAGCUCACUCAUCCAUCCGAGGGCGCCCCCUGGGCCAGGGUAUGUCAUUGCACUAGUUUCAUGCUUAUUUUAUUAUCAUGUUAUUAUGCGGCUGCUUAUGCAUUUGUGGGAUCCGCCUCGAGCACCGAGGUACCAGAGACCGGGGCAACCCGGUCACUGGCUGCAGGUACAGUUGCCCGGAGGACUUCAGACGACUUGGUCAACGCAGCGGACAGAUCAUCAACCGGGUCAUGGGGAUGCGGUCAACCUUCCAGACACGUCACACCGGCAGGUUCGUUUUCUCAGCUUCCCGACAGGAACAAAUUGGCGCCGUUUGUGGGAACGCGCCUGAUCUGGAACAUGAAGAUGGACGAUGCCAGAGAGUUCUGCCAUUCUCAUGACCCCGAUGUAUUCAAGAGCAAGAGAGAUUUGUGGAUGGAAACUAUUUACAAGCCUGCUUGAAAUCAUUUUUCGUUAGUGUUUUGGUUGAAAAGGUGAAAAUUUGAUCGACUCAGCUAGAAGGUGAAGUUUAUGUCUCUACUAUAGAUAAUGUGCACCAUCUUAAAGAUGCUGAUAUCAUGACGCAAGCCUUAGGCUCACGGUCUUGUUACAUCAAGGGUUAAGGUUCAUUACCUAAACUAUAUAUAGCAAGUGGUCCUAGGGCCACAAACAUCAGCUCAAAGCAUAAUGAUGAUGGUAAAAAAAUUACUGCUAUACAACAAAUGAUCGAUGAACAAAAACAAACUAUAGGUGAGCAGCAAAAGACAUAAGUGAGCAGCAACAAAGAUUUGAUGCAUUAUUGCAACAACUUCACCAUGUCAUUCUCGAUUUCUUUUUCCAGCCUCCACCGACAAGCUCUUCGACAUGAUCUCCUUCAUAAUAUCAUUGGCAUUCAACAACACCUAUGUAAUCUUUUAUUUUGAAACAUUUUUUAAUUAGUGUUUGACUAAUUAUGUUUUGGAUAUUAUUUUACUAGUUAUUUAACUUUUUGAAAAAUA